CACCUUUAGAAAUAUUAAAGGCACCGCCUGCUCAAUGCUUUAAAGUAAAUAGCCGCAGUAUUUUGACUGUGCUAAGGUAGCAUAAUCAUUAGUCUCUUAAUUGGAGGCUGGUAUGAAUGGCGAGACGAGAAAGCUGCUGUCUCCAAUAGAAAUCUCGAAUUUUAUUUCUGGGUGAAAAAGCCCAGAUGGCUUUGAAGGACGAUCAGACCCUAUGGAGCUUUUUCGUUGGGGCGACGAAGAGAAUUAAAUAACACUCUUUUCCAAGAACAAUAAUCAGUGGAUUAGUGAUCCUCACCGAGAGAUCAGAAGACCAAGUUACCCUAGGGAUAACAGCGUAAUCCCCUAAGAGAGUUCAAAUCGAUAAGGGGGUUUGCGACCUCGAUGUUGGAUUAAGAAAUUAGCGGGGUGCAGAAGCUCCGUUAAAAAGUCUGUUCGACUUUUGAUUUCUUACA
rnacentral:rRNA from 1 species